rnacentral:misc_RNA from 1 species
GAAAUGCGAUAAGUAAUGUGAAUUGCAGAAUUCAGUGAAUCAUCGAAUCUUUGAACGCACCUUGCGCUCCUUGGUAUUCCGAGGAGCAUGCCUGUUUGAGUGUCAUUAAAUUCUCAACCCAUUCAGCUUUUGUUAGAUGAAUGUGGCUUGGAUUUUUGGGGGUUGUGCGGGCUUUUAUCAAGUCGGCUCCCUUUAAAUGCAUUAGCGGAGACCCUUGUGGACCGUCUUUGGUGUGAUAAUUAUCUACGCCAUCGCCGUGAAGCAGCUAUUACAAAUGGGACUUCAGCUUCAAACCGUCCUUUGGAAGGACAACACUUCAUUGACAUUUUGACCUCAAAUCAGGUAGGACUACCCGCUGAACUUAA